GGCAGGGUAGCUCAGUUGGUGAGAGCGCCGGAUUCAUAACCCGGAGGUCGGCGGUUCAAAUCCGCCUCCUGCUACCA
rnacentral:tRNA from 1 species